GACGAACGCUGGCGGCGUGCCUAAUACAUGCAAGUCGAACGAGAGCGACCGGUGCUUGCACUGGUCAAUCUAGUGGCGAACGGGUGAGUAACACGUGGGUAACCUGCCCAUCAGAGGGGGAUAACAUCCGGAAACGGAUGCUAAAACCGCAUAGGUCUUCGAGCCGCAUGGCUUGAAGAGGAAAAGAGGCGCAAGCUUCUGCUGAUGGAUGGACCCGCGGUGCAUUAGCUAGUUGGUGAGGUAACGGCUCACCAAGGCCGUGAUGCAUAGCCGACCUGAGAGGGUGAUCGGCCACAUUGGGACUGAGACACGGCCCAAACUCCUACGGGAGGCAGCAGUAGGGAAUCUUCCGCAAUGGACGCAAGUCUGACGGAGCAACGCCGCGUGAGUGAAGAAGGUUUUCGGAUCAUAAAACUCUGUUGUUAGAGAAGAACAAGUGCUAGAGUAACUGUUAGCGCCUUGACGGUAUCUAACCAGAAAGCCACGGCUAACUACGUG
rnacentral:rRNA from 1 species